rnacentral:rRNA from 1 species
GCUUGUCUCAAAGAUUAAGCCAUGCAUGUCUUAGUGUAAAUAACUCUUAUGAAACUGCGAAUGGCUCAUUAAAUCAGUUAUAAUUUAUUUGAUAGUACCCCUUUACUACUUGGAUAACCGUGGUAAUUCUAGAGCUAAUACAUGCCUUGAAAAGUCCUGACCUUUAUGGAAGGGAUGCAGUUAUUAGAUACAAAACCAACCCGGGCAACCGGUCCUUUGGUGAUUCAUGAUAACUUUGCGAAUCGCAUAGCUUUUUAAUGCUGGCGAUGGGUCAUUCAAAUUUCUGCCCUAUCAACUUUCGACGGUAGGAUAGAGGCCUA